GCCUAACAUAGGGGUGUCCAGGGGCUGGCCAGUGCUCACUUCAGGGCUGCUACAGGGGAGGGAUCCUGGGACCUCUGACAGAAGCUAGCAGAAGGGAUCAAAACCCAUGACCCUGAGAUCAAGACCUGAGCUGAGAUCAAGCGUCAGUUGCUUAACCAACUGAACUAUUCAGAUGGAGCUUACAGUACCUGAAAGUGGCUUAAGAAAUACUCUCAGACUAGACCAUGGAUCAACUUCUCAGGCAUCAAUUUCACCUAUGAAAUUUUGGGUAAAAUCAUAUUUAUUUUAUUUUUAAAUAAACUGAUAACUAUGUCAUAGAAUGCAAAUAUCACAUGAAUAUUUCUAAUUAGAAAUUAAAAUUAAAAAUAUUUUCCUUGGUGAUAAACAAAACAGCAACUGUGUCAGAUGCUGGGGGAUGAAGACUUUCUCCCCUCCAGUACUCUGGCACAGAAGUCUGAGGAGUUCUGCAAAUUCACUGGGCAUGGGGUGAGGAGUUAAAAAUCCUAUUCUUUCUUUAAGAUCUACCGUCACUAUUGGAUCUAUGCCAUAAAUAUGCUGUAUUUACCCAGACAUCUCCUCUAUUUAUUUGGUUUUAGUCACAGAAUGAGCAGUUUUUACCCUCUAUGAGGUGCUACACUUAAAACUCUUCAUCUGCUACUCAGUAUAUUUUUUUGUUGAUAGAGUUUGCAUGAAAUAUGUGUUUCUUUGACCCUCUACUGAGGUAAAACAUAGUCGACAGCUUGCCUUGCCUUUCCAGCUGCAAGCAGAACUGAGAUUACCAAACCAUUCCUCCCAGUUGACUUCUGAAGGGUGCACUAGGAAUAGUUUUUUGUUGUGACUUAGGGGUUCCAAGUGUUCUCCCUUCCACCAUGGGCCAUCAUAAUGCCUAAAGCACCAUCCCUCUGAGGACAGUAGUGAUCUUGAUGUGCCAAUGGAAGAUGAAAGGGAAAUCUCCUCAGCUAUUUAUCACUCAUAAACGUCUUAAUUCAAACUAGUUGGCCAUAAUUUUAAAACUUGUCCUUAAAUUCUUUAAUACUCUUACCAUCAAACAGUGGAAUUUAAUUCUCCUUUCCUUGAAUAUAGGGCAGCCUUAGUGACUCACUUUAAAUGAGCACAAUUAGGCAGAACUGACACUGUGUGGCUUUUCAAACGGGUAGGGAAGGCAACACAGCUUUUGCCUAAAACUCAUUGUCUCUCUCUCUCUCUCUGUAUGCAUAUUUGGAAUCCUGAGCCAACAUGUAAGAAAUUCAGGUACUCUGAAGCUACCAUGCUGGAAAGGCCAUGUGGAGAAAAAAAACAUGGACGUAAAGAUGCUUGGGCUCUAGCUGUUUCAGCCUUCAGCUGUCUGAGACUUCCUAGUCUAGGCACCAGGCAUGUGAAUGAAGAUCCUUCAGAGAAUUCCAGCCUUUAAGCUGCCCCAGCUGCUGCCAAGUGAGACAGAGAUGAGCUGUCCCUGCUGAGCCCUAAAGCUGCAGAUUCAUGAGCAAAAUAAAUGUUGUUGUUUU